UCUCCGUUGGUGAACCAGCGGAGGGAUCAUUACAGAGUUGCAAAACUCCCAACCCUUGUGAACAUACCCGUUACAGUUGCUUCGGCGGGUAGCCCCAGGGCGGGGCUGCAGCCUCUUCUCACGAGGCGCCCGCCGGAGGUAUAUAACUCUUUGUAUUUGUUGGUCUCUCUGAGUAAAUUUAUAAUAAGUCAAAACUUUUAACAACGGAUCUCUUGGUUCUG
rnacentral:misc_RNA from 1 species